AAUCUGAGCCCAAAGAUGGCAUGCUUCCUUCCUGUGCCCUGUCCCCUGGCAACAGAAACCCUGCAUGGUUCUGAAAAGAGGACAUGAGCCUGGGAAACUCUUUUUAGGAGAGCGGACGGGAGGCUCAAAGCACAGCGGGAACGGAAUGUGCAAAACGGAGGAUUCCCGCUCCAUGACCGGAUGCUACGUGCUCCCACUACACUGAUGCAAAUUACCUUCCUGUCCGGUGACUAACCGUGCCUAAYAGUAGCCAUUAUUCUUUUCCACUCUGCAUGUUUGGAACAGGCAACAAACAGGUGCAGCAGCUCCAUGAAAGGGYACCAGUGGUAGAGCAAGUGGACCACCAACAUUUACUACAGUCCUUGACGCACCUGUCACAAGUUGCAUUUCCGGCCCUGGGCCAUUUACUGCAUGUUAUCCCCUUCUCUCUUUCUCUCGCUGCUUCCUGUCAAGCUACUAUUGAAUAAAGGCCACUAGGUACAAACUUUCAAAAAUUCCUUUCUAUAAAUGUUUUUUCUUUCAUAAUAUCAAGUCUUUCUCUCUUCACAUCUUCAUAAAGAACAUUGUUUUAUGAAGAAAAGUACUGAAAAUCAUUUGCAAAUUAUUCGUGCRACAUUCCUGGGAGUGUGGGCAUGCAUUAUAAACUCUUUAUGUGCUUUUAAAUAUGCUGCAGAAACUUAAAAUUGCUUUAUGACACAUGCCAGAGAAUGAUUCUGAAUCCAUCACAGCCUUUACUGGUUUUUACAACCAUUCUCUAGUAUUUACUUAGGAUUGAUGAUUAUCCACAUAACAGUUAAAGCAAAAUCAAGGAAUCUGCUGGAUCAGCUGAAGGAUUAGGAAUAAACUUCAACUGAGCAGCUGCAGCAUUAGCUUCUCAGACCUUAUAUUUUUUUCCAAACUCACAGUUUGCAUUGACACCACAGUGUCCUGUCAAAGUAUACAGCAGUAUUGAAUUCAAACUUUUUCACAUUUUGUUUCUUARCCAUGAUCAUUAGUGUGUUUCACUGGGAUUCUGCAUGACUGAUUAAUAAAAUGUAGUCCAUAAUAGCACAAGUUUUGCAAUAGAUCAUCAACUGAAUUUUUGUCUGGUCCCAUUCUAAUGCUAAAUGAUCUAAACUAUACCAUUUUUUCUCUUGUUGCACAGUUAGGSUCAACGCUUGUCWAACAYUCCAAUUAUGGGCUGAAACAAACACAAAAGAUGGAUGAAUUCAUUGGAAAGAAUGUGCUGAAGUAAAUUCAUCAUGCUAGAGCAAAGUGUUCAUCUAAAGCUGAGCCCUGCAAACACAGACAGAUCUGCACCUAAUGU